rnacentral:rRNA from 1 species
UACGUAGGGUGCAAGCGUUUGUCCGGAAUUAUUGGGCGUAAAGAGCUCGUAGGCGGUCUGUCGCGUCGGCUGUGAAAACUCGGGGCUCAACUCCGAGCCUGCAGUCGAUACGGGCAGACUAGAGUGCGGUAGGGGAGACUGGAAUUCCUGGUGUAGCGGUGAAAUGCGCAGAUAUCAGGAGGACACCGGUGGCGAAGGCGGGUCUCUGGGCCGUAACUGACGCUGAGGAGCGAAAGCGUGGGGAGCGAACAGG